ACCGAUGCCGUUUCAAUAACAGGUCAUUUAAGACCUUUCUUUCCUUAUUCCUUCCCAAAAACGCUGCCCACAAUUUGGCUGAAAAUCACAGCUUCAAAAUCAAAUUAAUAGGGUUUCCUUCGCUAGCAGCCAAAUCACCAUUGUUUUGGUGAUCAACAGCAUGCAAAUGGUACCCAUCCUCCCUGUUGAAGGCAUUCACACAUGCUUUAAAAGGAUUUAUUCUACGGAUGCAGAGCUGUACGGGGAGAAGGCCAUGGAACCCGUACGUGGGAACCCCGUUCUGCUGCUACUCUCGUAUAUUCCAGAAACUUCUGGCCUGGGAUCUAUCUGUUUACCUCAAAUAGCCAAGAGGAAGGGCUACUGCUGCAGCAUGGAUUAAUUAGUCUUAGAUUGAACCUUUUCCGGGUUAUUUUUUGUCUCAACUUUGGGCUAUUGGAAUUGGUUCUAGGGUUGUGGGUUUAUUUUAGUAUUUUGAAAAUUGUAAAUGAACUUUUUGGACUAUUUAGUCUUGGACUUUAUUUAUUUAUUUGGGUUUAUUUAUUUGCAAUUAAA